AUUGAACGCUAGCGGGAUGCUUUACACAUGCAAGUCGAACGAGUGUCGGACGGGUGCGUAAUAUAUCGGAACGUUCCCACUAGCGGGGGAUAACUACUCGACAGAGUGGCUAAUACCGCCUACUAUUGGAGGUGCCGAUAUCGGAUUAGCUAGUGGGUGUGGUAAAGGCUCACCAAGGCCACGAUCCGGAGCUGGUUGGAGAGGACGACCAGACACACUGGAACGGAGACAAGGCCAAGACUCCGACGGGAGGCAGCAGUGGGGAAGUUUGGACAAUGGGGGAAACCCUGAUCCAGCCAUGCCGGGUGUAUGAGAAGGCCUUCGGGUUGUAAAGUACUUUUGGCAGAGAAGCGGUAUCGGCAGAAUAAGCACCGGCUAACUACGUGCCAGCAGCCGCGGUAAUUC
rnacentral:rRNA from 1 species